rnacentral:rRNA from 1 species
CCUACGGGAGGCAGCAGUGGGGAAUAUUGGACAAUGGGGGAAACCCUGAUCCAGCGACGCCGCGUGAGUGAAGAAGUAUUUCGGUACGUAAAGCUCUAUCAGCAGGAAAGAAAAUGACGGUACCUGACUAAGAAGCCCCGGCUAACUACUUGCCAGCAGCCGCGGUAAUACGUAGGGGGCAAGCGUUAGCCGGAUUUACUGGGUGUAAAGGGAGCGUAGACGGCAGUGCAAGUCUGGAGUGAAAUGCCGGGGCUCAACCCCGGAACUGCUCCGGAAACUGGGAAGCUGGAGUGCAGGAGAGGUAAGCGGAAUUCCAGGUGGAGCGGUGAAAUGCGUAGAUAUCAGGAGGAACACCAGCGGCGAAGGCGACUUACUGGACUGUAACUGACGUUGAGGCGCGAAGGCGUGGGGAGCAAACAGGAUUAGAUACCCGGGUAGUC